CAAGUUAGAAGAUGUUCCAGUCAGACAGACAUGGAAACAGUGAGACAUAGAAACCGCUCUAAGGAAAUUCACACGGUUUGGUGUUGGUGAACGUGAGCCACUCCCUCAAACUUUUGGAAGACAACAGUUCUUUGCUGAGACUUAUUUAAAGGAAACACCUCCAGGUCUUUGAAUUGCUGUACACAUGCCGUGGUUUUGCAUCCCUCUCUCAAGUACUUCGGUUGAUUUCUAUCCCAUGUGCACUGUAGUGCCAAGAAUUAAAGUCAAGUUAUGUGUCUACACGAGAGGAUGGAAAUUCACUAAACUUACGGUGAUAAUCCUUCCAUGAUGUAUGUAAGUCAAAUCAUGAUGAUGUACAC